rnacentral:rRNA from 1 species
AUUGAACGCUGGCGGCAUGCCUUGCACAUGCAAGUCGAACGGUAGCGGGCCUUCGGGUGCCGACGAGUGGCGAACGGGUGAGUAAUGUAUCGGAACGUACCUUUCAGUGGGGGAUAACGUAGCGAAAGUUACGCUAAUACCGCAUAUUCUGUGCGCAGGAAAGCAGGGGACCUUCGGGCCUUGCGCUGAUUGAGCGGCCGAUAUCAGAUUAGCUAGUUGGGGAGGUAAAGGCUCACCAAGGCAACGAUCUGUAGCGGGUCUGACAGGAUGAUCCGCCAAACUGGAACUGAGACACGGUCCAGACUCCUACGGGAGGCAGCAGCGGGGAAUUUUGGACAGUGGGGGCAACCCUGAUCCAGCCAUGCCGCGUGAGUGAAGAAGGCCUUCGGGUUGUAAAGCUCUUUCGGCCGGGAAGAAAUCGUAUCAGCUAAUACCUGGUGCGGAUGACGGUACCGGCAUAAGAAGCACCGGCUAACUACGUGCCAGCCGCCGCCGUAAUAC